AACGAACGCUGGCGGCAGGCCUAACACAUGCAAGUCGAACGCCGUAGCAAUACGGAGUGGCAGACGGGUGAGUAACACGUGGGAACGUACCCUUCGGUUCGGGAUAACUCAGGGAAACUUGAGCUAAUACCGGAUACGUCCGAGAGGAGAAAGAUUUAUUGCCGAGGGAUCGGCCCGCGUCUGAUUAGCUUGUUGGUGAGGUAACGGCUCACCAAGGCGACGAUCAGUAGCUGGUCNGAGAGGAUGAUCAGCCACAUUGGGACUGAGACACGGCCCAAACUCCUACGGGAGGCAGCAGUGGGGAAUAUUGGACAAUGGGCGCAAGCCUGAUCCAGCCAUGCCGCGUGAGUGAUGAA
rnacentral:rRNA from 1 species